GAGUAUAGUUGAAAUACAUGGUUAGUAGACUUUGCCAAUGACAUGGACUUUGGAAACUUGACAAACAAAUUGUAAACAAGGAAAACAAAAGGAGCAACAUAUUAAUCUUUAAAGCCCAGGAAACCCUUUAAAUUAGAAAAUGUGAAAUCCACAAAACACAAAACUUUGUGCAGGAAAGAGAAGCAAGGGAAGAACAUAGGCCAAAGUAAGGAGAAGAUUACCAAGUCCUGAUCCAAAAUGACAGCAUUGCCAUUAACGCAGAGUUCUUCAAUAUACACUGUCAAAACCACGGGAAUGGGUCAGUAAUCCUCCAUGAGAAUGUUCCCUAAUACAGUGAAAGCAAAACCAUACUUCUAAGUGAAGUAUUUAUCAUCAAAAUCAUGCAAUUCUAUGGUGACAAUGGACUAGUAGAGGAGGUAAUGCUCUAUUUUCACAAUUGGACCUAAAAGUGUGCUAUUUUUCAAAAUCAAGUGCUGGUAAAUACAAAAAUAUUGAUGCAAAAAUCAUGGGGUUUUUUGAGAAAGAGAAGAGAUAAGAUAUGAAUAUUAUCUGCCAAUUCAUGGAAACACAUAAGUUGUGUUGGGAAUGAAAAUGACAGAAGACUGAGUAGCAACACUAUUGUGUGUUGAAACAUAUCAAGAAUG
rnacentral:lncRNA from 1 species